rnacentral:rRNA from 1 species
AUUGAACGCUGGCGGCAGGCUUAACACAUGCAAGUCGAGCGGUAACAGAGAGAAGCUUGCUUCUCUGCUGACGAGCGGCGGACGGGUGAGUAAUGCCUAGGAAUCUGCCUAGUAGUGGGGGAUAACUUGCCGAAAGGUAAGCUAAUACCGCAUACGUCCUACGGGAGAAAGGAGGGGACCUUCGGGCCUUUCGCUAUCAGAUGAGCCUAGGUCGGAUUAGUUAGUUGGUGAGGUAAUGGCUCACCAAGACCGCGAUCCGUAACUGGUCUGAGAGGAUGAUCAGUCACACUGGAACUGAGACACGGUCCAGACUCCUACGGGAGGCAGCAGUGGGGAAUAUUGGACAAUGGGGGGAACCCUGAUCCAGCCAUGCCGCGUGUGUGAAGAAGGUCUUAGGAUUGUAAAGCACUUUAAGUUGGGAGGAAGAGCAGUUAACUAAUAUUUGACUGUUUUGACGUUACCGACAGAAUAAGCACCGGCUAACUUCGUGCCAGCCGCCGCAGUAA